CUUGCUUUUUGAAAAAGAAUUAACUUCUAAGGCUGAAGAAAAUGAGACUCUAAGUUUAUAUGUCUUGGAUAACUCAUCUUCUCUCUUCUUCCCCUUAUCUCUCUCACUCAGAUUGAAACCAGCAUCAGUUGUUGGGAAAUAUAUCUCAAAGCCAAUCAUUAGAUGAUUGUGCUCAUUUUGUAAAUUAUAUUUAAAUUUUUAUUAAUAAAAGUUAUUUGAUAUUUUUAUUAUAAAUUGAUCAUCUUUGAAUUCUUAUGUUGUAAUGAAG
rnacentral:lncRNA from 1 species